UCGAAUCUUUCUCUACGGUAAUU
rnacentral:miRNA from 1 species